rnacentral:rRNA from 1 species
AACGCUAGCUACAGGCUUAACACAUGCAAGUCGAGGGGCAGCAUGGUCUUAGCUUGCUAAGGCCGCUGGCGACCGGCGCACGGGUGAGUAACACGUAUCCAACCUACCGAUAACUCGGGGAUAACCCUUCGAAAGAAGGCCUAAUACCCGAUAGCACCUUUUGCGGGCAUCCAAGAAAGGUUAAAGAAUUUUGGUUAUCGAUGGGGAUGCGUUCCAUUAGCUUGUUGGCGGGGUAACGGCCCACCAAGGCAUCGAUGGAUAGGGGUUCUGAGAGGAAGGUCCCCCACAUUGGAACUGAGACACGGUCCAAACUCCUACGGGAGGCAGCAGUGAGGAAUAUUGGUCAAUGGACGUAAGUCUGAACCAGCCAAGUAGCGUGAAGGAUGAAGGCUCUAUGGGUCGUAAACUUCUUUUAUAAGGGAAUAAAGUGAGCCACGUGUGGCUUUUUGUAUGUACCUUAUGAAUAAGGAUCGGCUAACUCCGUGCCAGCAGCCGCGGUAAUACGGAGGAUCCGAGCGUUAUCCGGAUUUAUUGGGUUUAAAGGGAGCGUAGGCGGAAUAUUAAGUCAGUUGUGAAAGUUUGCGGCUCAACCGUAAAAUUGCAGUUGAUACUGGUAUUCUUGAGUGCAGUAGAGGUAGGCGGAAUUCGUGGUGUAGCGGUGAAAUGCUUAGAUAUCACGAAGAACUCCGAUUG